rnacentral:misc_RNA from 1 species
GAAAGAUUGUAUUGUGGGCUUAGGAGAAGGAAGAUGAAGCAACAUCACAAGUUGACAGUGGCUUUGUGCGGGAUAUGGGCGGCCACUCUUCUUUACGGCGAGAUGCUUGCCUUCUGGGUGCCCUCUAUCUGGUCUUGUUCCUGGCCUCACCUUCAUCAUUCUCCCCUUUCAUCUACCAAUUCCACGGUCAAAGAAGUAGGAGCUCAAAGUGAUUAUGUAAAAGUUGCUGUCCUAGCAGAUCCGCAGCUUAUGGACAGAACCUCCCUUCACCUACCUCCAAAAUCAUUUGCUUUGGAGACUGCUCAAUUUUAUACUGAUUUAUACAUGCGCAGGGCAUUCUUUUCAUCUAUCCUACCUUUCAAACCUCAUGUGAUUUUGUUUUUGGGUGAUUACUUUGAUGGAGGCCCUUAUUUAUCAGAUCAAGAGUAAGGCCUGCAAAUUUCCGUUUGAAACUUCAAUUAGCCGCUUUGUACUUACAGGUCCACAAUGUGUGCACCUUGCUUUUUGAAAUAAUAUCUGCCACUUUAAAUGAUUUCUUACAUGAACUCUGGCAUUCUUCGAAUAUUACAAAACUGAACUAUGGAAAAUUUCUGGAAACCUUUGCUGGACUGGACAUUUAUUUUUAUGCCUUGCAAUGGAUAUUUGAAAUCCAUUUUUCACUUCACUUGUCUCCACUUUGGCUUUCAACAUAUUGAUUGGAUAUAUGUUAUCCUAUCACUAUGUAUGACCUGCUCUUAGCUUUGUUUUCUACAUUUUUCUAUUCCAAAUUUUGUCUCAACAUGUGUCGGUUCCACUCUUGGGACUAUUUAUCUCCUCAGCAUAUUACUUGUUAUUUUCUGCUGCAGAAUGCCCCUGUGUUGGAAGUUGAUGUGAUUUUUAGUAUGUGUACAAGAAAAUAAAAGAGCCAUACCUAAGCAUAGUGCAAGUAUAUUUUCCUAUAAAAAGGAAGAUGUUGCUGCUAGAAAAAUAGUGCAGAGGGCUGGAAAAAGAGUUUUGAGAGAGCUAGCAAAAUGAGGAAGAAAAGAAAGAAAAAAAAAAUGGAAUUUGUAGUUGUUAAUCCUCCAUUUUAGUGAUGAAUUUAUGGUUUUCUUUC